GACCUUGAAUGUGAAUGAGUCAAAGGCACCCUGUUGUGCUCACGUUAAUUACAAGGGGGAGGUCCAGGAACUGGGCAGGGUAGAAGUGGAGCAGGACAUCUGUGUCCUCAGGAGGAUCCUGUGGUUCCAGCAGAAACCACUGAAGUACGUAAGAGUCCUUUAAUUAGAAGAUUUACUUGUCGUCUCAGAAUUCAAAUUACAUGCUUUGUUGUGCCUAAUUGGGUGGCUGCUCUUCAGAGUCACAGCGCCUAUUCUUGAAGCAGGUAGCAGGUCUUUAAACAGAAAAGGUCAUAUUUUGAGAAGUGAAAUGAGAACCCAGCCCUCUUUGCAAAAAAUGUGGAUUACUGGCUUUGUGUUUAAACCAGUUAUUCUAAGAACGUGAACAGUCUUGAGAUCACUUGCUUAUCUUCCAACCCAAAACUGUACGAAAGGAACCUCCUCUCGGGGAAGUCCUAUCUGUGAUCAGAACUCCAUCUGGAUUCCUGCUGUCUGCACACAAACAUAGUGCCACUUGAGAUAUCUAGACACCCAAGACUUCCUGACAGGCCUGGCAGAUAUGACACAGGAUCUGCAGGAGAACUCCAUCUUUCUCGAAUGUUAGCUGGAAACCAGGAAGGAUAGCCUCAGGAAACCCUAUAAAAUACUAAAGAGCUAUGGAUUCUGAUUUUCUUUUGACAUUGUAAUUUAUUAUUAAACACGUGUUGGACUCUACAUAUUUGGGGAAUAGAAAGCAUCUGAAGUGACUGAUUUUGCUUUCUUGUCAGAAAAGAAAAUACUGCAACAAGUUAUUUAGGAAAAUGGCAACUAGACUCUUCCCCUAACACACAGUCUAAGAAUAAUUUAUUUGAUAAGCCAUGUUUGGUCUUGGAUAGCUUUACAUAUGUUGUUGGUGAUGAGGAGGACCUAGAUAAAAAGAUAAGUAAGUGUUAUUGAGAAUUAGCGAGGAUUUUCCUUUUUUCUAAUUCUGGAGGUUGUAUUCACAAGACUGUUCUGUUCCAACUUAUGACAUGAAAUGGAGACUUUUCAGGUACAACAGAAGACAAGGACAAAUGGGAGAUAACUGUGUAAAUACAAAAUACCCAUCACAGCUCAUCACUGGAUCCCAGUGCCUACUACAAUGAUGCCUCACAAUUUCAGUAGUCCUGUGGCCAAAAAGAUUACUUGUAUCCUAGUUUCCUGACACUGAUGGUAACUAAGACAAAAUUACUUGUAUCCAUAUUACUAUACUCUCACAGUCUUCACAGAAAGAUGGCUGCAUUAAGACUGUUCA